UACGGGGGGAGCAAACGUUGUUCGGAAUCACUGGGCGUAAAGGGCGUGUAGGCGGCUGGAUAAGUGGGAUGUUAAAUCCCCCGGCUCAACCGGGGACCUGCAUCGGAUACAGCCCGGCUUGAGGACGGUUGGGGUGAGUGGAACUCCUGGUGGAGCGGUGAAAUGCGUAGAUAUCAGGAGGAACACCGGUGGCGAAAGCGGCUCACUGGACCGUAACUGACGCUGAGGUGCGAAAGCUAGGGGAGCAAACGGG
rnacentral:rRNA from 1 species